CCUGCCCGGCAGCCGAUGGGGCCUGGGGGGUGUUAUGAAUAGAAAGCUAUCUAUUUUUUUUAGGUGGCAGAGUUAAAAACAAGUCAGACCAGUUGUUGUAAGUUAGUUUCACUGCCGAAGAAAAGUUCUUCAAUUACCUGUUAAUGGCUGGUGAUUAACCAUUGUCCCCCUGAUGCUGGCCGCUUGCCAGGGAGGGACACCGGGACAGACCCUCCAAAUACGAGGAGAAUAGGAGUGACAUCAGAGCUAGUAUGCAGAUGAGAAAUGCAUUGCGCCCUGAAUUUUUACAGUUUUUACAGGAAAAACCCCUAAAAUCACGAGCCAACAAGUGACCUGAGUGACGUCUAAGGCUGGGAGCGUAGUCCCGUACCUGCUUGGACCCUUUUUGCUUCUCACCCUAACCUGAAAAUAUGCUGAUUAAAGAGACGCCCCGGGGUGUUAGACAAAAAUGCAGGAAUCUGCUACUCUCCCGUGAGGAUGGAAUCCCCAGCUCUGCCUGCAGACCAGUGGACAAAGCUGCAUCACCCUCCUUCUCCGUGCCACUUCUGGGAGCAGCAGCGGCGUGGGCGUGACCCGUCGAUUUCUCCCCACCUGAGCUGAUUCUUCUUAAUAAAGGCAUUAAAAAGGAGAACGAUCUCCUGCCCAUUUAUUUCAGGGGGCUCCCUGGGAAGGGGCCCAGCCCCACAGCAGGAACCGCCCGGCCCGGCCUGGCUGAGACGGGUCCGGCCCAGCCUACCUGCUCUCAGGUCAGAAGAGAAACAGAACUCCCAGGAUUUUUUGGUUUUAACACGUGCGUUCCCAGCGGCAUGUUCAGCUUUCUAGUGGUUUAACAAAAUGUCAAUAUCCAAAACUAUUGUAUUUGCAGGGUGUCUCAAUGUUGGAAGGAAGGAAUGAUGAAUCUGACUCCAUGUUCUCAGAAAGCUAAUUUAUUAUUUGAUGAUACUAUAUUAUAGAAUACUAUAUAAUACUAUACUAUAUUAAAGAAUACAGAAAGGAUACUUACAGAAUGCUAAAAAAAAAUAAUGAAACUCGUGACUCUCUCCAGAGUCCUAACAUAACUUGGCACUGAUUGGCUAAUGAGUCAAAACAACUCACAGCAGAAACCAGUGAAAUAAUCACCUGUGGGUAAACAAUCUCAAACACAUUCCACACGAGCACAACACAGGAGAAGCAAAUCAGAUAAUUAUUGUUUUCCUUUUUCUCUGAGGCUUCUGAGCUUCCCAGGAGAAAAAUCCUGGGUGAAGGGAUUUUUCAGAAAAUAUGAAUGUGACACAAAAUGCCUCACUGAUUGGUUUUAUCAGGCACAGAGGAAGCUCUCAGCAGCCCCUCUCAAAAAAAACCUCACUUCUGUGGUGGCUCCAAUGACACAACCAGCACAACCCCCAGCUGGUGUACUUUAGGAGAAGCAUGGCCAGAAGGCUGAGGGAAGCUACUUUGGAAGUGCUCAAAAACAUGUGGAUGUGGCACUGUGGGACGUGAGUUAGUGGGGGCUUUGGUAGUUCUGGGGGAAUGGUUGGAACCAGUGAUCUCAGAGGACUUUUCCAACCUUAAAGAUGCUGUGGUUCUAUGAUUCCACCCUCCCCUCAGAACUCAGAUCCUUGGUCCUAAAGAAGUUGGAGAAGCCUGAGAAGGUCCAGCUGUAGGUGCCAUAGUGGUCAGAGGCACAGGUCUUGAGGAGAGGGUUGAAGGAGCCGGGCUUGUCUAACCAGGGGGAAAGGUGGAUCCAUGGAGAUGUAAGAGGAACCUGCAGCUUCUAGGAGUCCUGAAGAUCACAGAGCCAAACUUCCCAGCCAGAACAGCUAGCACAACAAGGGGCAGUGAGGAAAUGGGGCAAUAUCCACAUGCAAUGGCUUGAGAAGUACAAAUUCCACACAAGGAAUCAAAAUGUCUGCUUGGAUGGUGGUGCAGCCUGGGAACAGGUCCCAGAGAGAUGGGAGUUCUGUGUCCUUGGAGUUUUCCCAUAUUUGGCUAUUAAAAGGCACAGCUGGCUUGUCCUAGUGCUGGCAACAGUCCUGCCACAGCAGAUGUUGGUCCAGAGCCCUCCAGAGGUGCAUCCCCACCACCACCUCUCAAACUGCACCAGAUUCCAGCUCUAGAAGAGGACUUAAUCUUUGAAGAACCAAAUCAAUGUCCUGAGUCAGUUUGAUGCACUGAAUUUAUGUCACUUUUUCUUCACAAGGAGUUAUUUAGGACAGCUCAGGACACAGAAGCUGCCUCCAAAGGAAUGAAUGAUGCUGUUCUACAAACACCUCUUCUGUUUUUAUAAAGUAGCCAGGCAGGAGUGUGCCAAAAACAUUACCAGGGUCUCAAAGGAGGAGCUGGAUGGCUUAUAAAGAUGAGAACAAAAUCUGAAUCUGUUCACUGGGGGCUGGAUUACCAACAUUUAAAUUGCUGCAAGUCAGAAAUUAACCCACUGACCUCCACACUGGGCUUACGCAGGCAAGAAAAAGCAACCUUUUAUUGUAUCUUCAGCCCAUGAAAACCAACACCUAUUUUCUGUGUCUCUUCUUUGGCUGAAAGAGAAGCUGAAAGAUCGCCAGCUAUUAAAGAUUCCUGGCCAAGCAUAUUUUGGAUUCAAACUUGGCCCAGGAAAAAUAACUUCUUCUGUCCAAGGACACAAAGCAGCUGAAUGAUUUUAGAGCAUUCCUAUGCCAAGCCUGACCUGAGUCCAAGUCAGGAGAACCCAGCUGAAGACUCCAGGAAGUCUCUUUUUAAGGUAGAAAUAGGUUUAUGUUCCUAUUUUAAAGAUCUUGCACUUCUGGUUCUACAUCUGACCUGGGCAGCUCAGCUAAGACACCUCAACUUUUACCAGAUGUUGGGCACACCAGGACAGCAGGUACCCAGCAGUUCCCCAGCCCUCCUGGAGCUCUCUCCUACUCUUCUAUUAAGCUGCAUUUUGGCAUGAAACAAAAUUUCUAAUGGUUCCUCACUAUCCACAUUCCUUUGAAGCUGGCAUGUCUCCAGCCCCUCUCUUGGAUCUCACAAUCUUAGCUGACCUUCACACACACCUCUCAGUAUGUUUGCAAUAUCACUUCGGGGAUGCCAACCCUGGUGCCUUCCAAAGAAGUUUUGUUGUGGACUGAGGAACCCAAAUCAAACACAUGAUAGAUAACUAAAACUGUGCUGUACAAAUACCCUGAACUGCAAUCCAAGGAGCUGCUGCUCUGCUCAUCCCCCACUCAGGUGAGAUCAACCCGUGUUUCCUGUGAGCCUGCAGACCCCUGAUCUCUGUGUGACUGACACAGACACGAGGCCACAGGACCCUCAGUGCUGCUUCACUGCCACCAGAGCAUCGUGUCCUGCCAGCCUGUCAUUCCUCACCAUAACAGCACCUACCACCAGUGUCUGUACCAGGCUGAAACACAGCCAAAAAAACCGUGUGGGAAAAGAGAAUAGUGCCAUAGGAGUUAAUUACCCUGGCAGGAAAUCCAUUCCCAGAUGGCUACUGACAAGAGGGGAGAUUAUCAAAACAAAAGGUAUGGAAGGGAGUGCAGAUCAGAGAAGACUACGGUGCAGUUCGGAUUUUGCCUGCUCCCUUAUCCCCCUCUCUGGAAGGCUCAAACACAGGCCCCCGUCCCCCCAGCACCCAGGAACGGCUUGGGGGUGUCCUGCAGCAGCAGCAUCUCCUAGAUCUCUGUCCCUUGUUUGCAGUGCAAAACAUCUUCCUUCAAGAGCAAACGAUUCUGAUGCAGAGGAAAGGAAGAAGAAUAAAAACCAUUACGGCUGCUUUACAAGCUCUUCAGAAUGGAGUGAAUGGGAGUGAGGACACGUGAGUGCAGAGAGUGGAGAGCGGCAGCACAAUCACUCUGGAACAGAAACAGCACUAACAGCACACACCAGGCUGGCGAGGAGCAGAAAGGGCACAGGGAAAAAAGCUCCAGAAAUACCUUCAAAGCUGGAGAUGACAAAGGGAAGCCUGGCCCAGUGGGACCGUGACAGCAAAUAACAGAUGACACAAAUGAGGCUGAAGCAUUGAGCGCAUCCUUCAGCGCUCAGAAUAAAGAAAUAAUUGCAACAAGCUGUGUGAGGCAACGUUCUACAAAGAGAUGAGACAGGCCAGGUGUGAGAAGGGAUGAGUUAGAGAUGGCUGAACCAGAACAAGGUAAAGAUUUGCUCUGGCCAAAAGGUUGGAUUUCCCUGUGCUGGACACGUGGAAAGAAGCAGCCUGGAUGCAGCCUUAUGUCCCACAGCAGGAAGGGCAGGUCCUGCUUUGGAGGUAGGAACCUUCUCUAGGAUAAGCUUAUCCUGGGGCAGAGCAGUUCUUCAACAUCAAGCACCUGAUGAGUCCUUCUGUCAUCACUGGAGCCAGCUAAAGGAUGAGUCUGUCCACUGAGGCUACCUGGAUUUAAAGGUUUCAUUCUAAAAGAGAAUUUUAGGUAAAAAGAGACUCUUCCUUGCAGCUGGCAAAACCUGAAGAGGGCUGGGGAGUGUAAGCAACCCUCUGAUUGCCUCGGCAGCCCUGAGAGCUGAGGAGAAGCACUCCAAGGUGGCACAGAGCCUCAAAAUGAUGUGUUGCAGUCCUCAGCACUUCCAACACUUCAGGCUCCUGGGAAAUUUAGCUCCUGAGCCAGUUUGACAUUUUUGGGAAAUUUUGCCCUCUUUAUGUGUAUUAUAGGUUGCAUUUAAUCAUGCUGAGCUGGUGAGUAAUAGCUAUAAAAUACUCUAGCAAUUUCAUACAAAUUUUUUCAACUGCUCAAAGGAGAAAAAGGAUACCAGAGAGGAUGAGUCAGGCCCUGAGAAACAGGUUCCAUGGACUCAUUCUUUGGUUUGCAAAUUGUCUGUGAGCAGAGUCUGAUUUCUUUAACUGGGUCAUUUCCUAAAAGGGUUUUUGACUAGUUUUCAUGAGUCAUUCAGAAGAGUUCAGCUGGUUGCCCACUGCUCUCUACAAUGGGAUUCAGAAUGUGCAUGUUAUCAUUUAACUCAAAGGGGUUUGUUCCUUCAUCCCUCCAAAAGGACUCAGUGAUGGUUGGAAGGAAAAACAGAGAUGAGCAGAGAGAUGAACACAGGGGGACUUUGGUGCAGAUGCUGAGAGCAGGUGGUUUUAGUAUUUGUCUGCUCAGCAGGCUCUCUUCACCUCAGAGGAAGAAGGAAUCUGACAUGGGAACUGGGCAAACUUGGCCAGAAAAGCAUUUUGGGGGGCUGACUGAGGUGCCCACUCUGGGAUUAUGAAUUACGGCCCAGAACUUGUGCUGGGGGUCACCCUCGCAGGGAGAGAGGGAGGGAUAUGGGUGAGAUGGGGCAUGGUCUGAACAUGCAACCUCUCCCAGCCUGCAGGUCCUGAGAUCCCUCUCCACUUUGGGAAGUGCUUUCUGUUCUGCUCUCCUUCCAAUAAACAAUUCCUGCAGGGGAAUCACAGAAUCAAAAAGUACUGAGUUAGAAUGGACACACAAAUAUCACUAAAUCUGACUCUUAAAUGGAUGGGCCAUCCACAACCUUGGCAUUAGGGGCACCAUGCUGUCACCAUAUGGGUCGGAGGUUAUCAAGAUAUUAAUUUCACAUUAUAGUUGUGUUGGUUUGGCACAGCCUGGUUUUUGGCAGUGGGGGAGGACCACAGAAGUGGCUUCUGUGAGAAGCUGCUGGAAGCUUCCACCAUGUCUGACAGAGCAACCUCUGAUGGCUCUGAAGAUGGACAUGCUGCUGCUGGCCCAGUUAGAGCGGCUGGUAACACCUCUGGGAUGGCAUUUCUAAGAAAAUCAAACCAGCGCAGGGACAGAGUGGCACUGUCUCUGGGGCAUCUCAGCACAGUCCACGGCACCGCAGCAGAGCCCGC